UUUAGGUUCGGAAUAACUCAGGGAAACUUGUGCUAAUACCGAAUGUGCCCUUCGGGGGAAAGAUUUAUCGCCUUUAGAGCGGCCCGCGUCUGAUUAGCUAGUUGGUGAGGUAAAGGCUCACCAAGGCGACGAUCAGUAGCUGGUCUGAGAGGAUGAUCAGCCACAUUGGGACUGAGACACGGCCCAAACUCCUACGGGAGGCAGCAGUGGGGAAUCUUGCGCAAUGGGCGAAAGCCUGACGCAGCCAUGCCGCGUGAAUGAUGAAGGUCUUAGGAUUGUAAAAUUCUUUCACCGGGGACGAUAAUGACGGUACCCGGAGAAGAAGCCCCGGCUAACUUCGUGCCAGCAGCCGCGGUAAUACGAAGGGGGCUAGCGUUGCUCGGAAUUACUGGGCGUAAAGGGAGCGUAGGCGGACAUUUAAGUCAGGGGUGAAAUCCCGGGGCUCAACCUCGGAAUUGCCUUUGAUACUGGGUGUCUUGAGUAUGAGAGAGGUGUGUGGAACUCCGAGUGUAGAGGUGAAAUUCGUAGAUAUUCGGAAGAACACCAGUGGCGAAGGCGACACACUGGUUCAUUACUGACGCUGAUGCUCGAAAGCGUGGG
rnacentral:rRNA from 1 species